GACGAACGCUGGCGGCGUGCUUAACACAUGCAAGUCGAACGGUAAGGCCCUUCGGGGUACACGAGUGGCGAACGGGUGAGUAACACGUGGGUGAUCUGCCCUGCACUUCGGGAUAAGCCUGGGAAACUGGGUCUAAUACCGGAUAGGACUCCUGGCUUCAUGGUUGGGGGUGGAAAGCUUUUGCGGUGUGGGAUGGGCCCGCGGCCUAUCAGCUUGUUGGUGGGGUAAUGGCCUACCAAGGCGACGACGGGUAGCCGGACGGAGAGGGUGACCGGUCACACUGGGACUGAGAUACGGGCCAGACUCCUACGGGAGGCAGCAGUGGGGAAUAUUGCACAAUGGGCGCAAGCCUGAUGCAGCGACGCCGCGUGAGGGAUGACGGCCUUCGGGUUGUAAACCUCUUUCAGCUAUGACGAAGCGCAAGUGACGGUAGUAGCAGAAGAAGGACCGGCCAACUACGUGCCAGCCGCCGCAGUAA
rnacentral:rRNA from 1 species